rnacentral:tRNA from 1 species
UCCCUGGAGGACUAGUGGUUAAGCCACGGCACUUUCACUACUGUGGCUUGGGUUCGAUUCCCAGCCAGGGAA